rnacentral:rRNA from 1 species
UACGGGGGGGGCAAGCGUUGUUCGGAAUUACUGGGCGUAAAGCGUGCGCAGGCGGUUUUGUAAGUCUGUCGUGAAAGCCCCGGGCUUAACCUGGGAAUUGCGAUGGAGACUGCAAGGCUUGAAUCUGGCAGAGGGGGGUAGAAUUCCACGUGUAGCAGUGAAAUGCGUAGAGAUGUGGAGGAACACCGAUGGCGAAGGCAGCCCCCUGGGUCAAGAUUGACGCUCAUGCACGAAAGCCAGGGGAGCAAACGGG